GACGAACGCUGGCGGCGUGCUUAACACAUGCAAGUCGAACGGAAAGGCCCUGCUUUUGUGGGGUGCUCGAGUGGCGAACGGGUGAGUAACACGUGAGUAACCUGCCCUUGACUUUGGGAUAACUUCAGGAAACUGGGGCUAAUACCGGAUAGGAGCUCCUGCUGCAUGGUGGGGGUUGGAAAGUUUCGGCGGUUGGGGAUGGACUCGCGGCUUAUCAGCUUGUUGGUGGGGUAGUGGCUUACCAAGGCUUUGACGGGUAGCCGGCCUGAGAGGGUGACCGGCCACAUUGGGACUGAGAUACGGCCCAGACUCCUACGGGAGGCAGCAGUGGGGAAUAUUGCACAGUGGGCGGAGGCCUGAUGCAGCAACGCCGCGUGCGGGAUGACGGCCUUCGGGUUGUAAACCGCUUUCGCCUGUGACGAAGCGUGAGUGACGGUAAUGGGUAAAGAAGCACCGGCUAACUACGUG
rnacentral:rRNA from 1 species